rnacentral:lncRNA from 1 species
CUGUGGGCUGGGAUCUGUGAGCCCUGUGGUUCAGCCACUCUUUCAAGAGGGUUUGGGAUAGGGAAGCUGGGGGAUCUCUGCUGUGAUUUGAGGGCAGAGCUGAGACCACAGGGUGGGGUUGGACUGGGCAGGAUGGAGCUUGUGGUACCAGGAGAGGGGACUGUGCUGGCUGGAGACCCCAAUUGCUGCAGAGAGCAGUAGGUUGGAGGCUGUGGGGGCCAGUAGCAGCAGAAGCAGAGGGUGCUGUAAGAACCACUGUACAAGGAUGGCUGGAGGACAGAUCCCACUGGGAAUGACUCAUGGACAAUCAGAAAACACCCUUGGCUCUGAAGACAAAGGCAGAGAGCACCAAACUGCCCUCCUGUUCCAUGCUGGAGGGAUACCUGGACCAGAGCCUGCAGACAGCCUGGACUGGGAAGUGGCACCUGAGCAUCCUGGAUGGUCCUUCCAUCACCCCUGGAACCACUGCAGCACCUGAGGAGGCUCAGAGCUUCCCUGCACUCCAGCAGCAGCCCCCAACUCACUGCAGACAUCCUGCAGCCAGGUCUGCUGGACUUCAGCCUGGCUUCCAAGAACUGGUCCUUCUGGAAAACAUAAAGGGAGACAAGGCACUUUCUGAGGGAGCACUGGAGUCCGGGGAAUUGACAGUUUCACUCCUGGGUCACACCGAGGUACAAACAUUACCACACCUGCUUUGCUCUCUUGGGGCAUCUGCAGCAUUUAGGCACAAAGCCUGCAUCCCGCAGGAACUUUGUAAUGGCACAAGGGACUCCCCAGUGCUCUCAUCUUUCCUGGAUGGCUCUGCUGGUACCAUCUCCUCAGGGACCAAAGCACAGCCCCCUCCAUCACCCAGCCCUGUGGUAGGCUGCCAGCCCGUUGGGGAAGAGAUGGGAAAGUGUCCACUUGAUGUGCCUGAAAAGCAGCACACAUCUCCCUGUUGCUAUGGAAACACUGCUUUUAAAGCAAAUUAAUAAUAAUAAUUAACACGAUCUAUUAAAUAAUGGUAAUAAAAGCAUUAGUAAUGACUUGUAAUUGGUAAAG